AUUCUGCCCAUGCGGGGAAGGAUGAGAAGCUUCGACCAAGGUUUGACUUGAGCGCCAGCGAGAGAGCGUUGCCGCAGGCAACGACCCGAAGCGCGCAGCGCUGAGUAAUCCUUCCCCCACCACCA
rnacentral:sRNA from 1 species